CCAUCUUUUAGAAGAAAAAGAGCCAUGAUGGUUUACAGAGACCUGACUAGAGGCGUGAUGGCACGUACACCCCUGCCAUCAACUUGGAUCGGAAGAGCUCAUGACGUCUGGCUGCAGUUUUGCAGCUGUGAGUUGGAACCUGUCACCCUGAUCCGUCACAGACUCUGGCCUGCCACCCCCCCCCCCCAUCUGUCGCAAACAGCAAUUUCAGUGGACCUCCUGCGCCAGUUUGCAGCCCUGCAACUGGAGUGUGGGGUGUCUUUGAGGGGGAUUACCUUUCCAUAAAUCCAAUGCAUGCUGGAAGACAGUUGAGCUCUACCAGAAGCUCACAAAUGAGUCAUUUGAGGAGUUCAAACAUUGACAGUUUGAACGAGAGACUCUCAUGAAGUUUGGCGCCAUUGACCUCGGACGGAACAUAGUGUCCUCUCACUCCACAGGAAAACAGUCAUCAAACUAUUUCAGCUGAUGCCCUAUUUGGGAUUCCCAGAAAAAGAUUGUCUGGGACCAGCA